GACGAACGCUGGCGGCGUGCCUAAUACAUGCAAGUAGAACGCACAGUUUAUACCGUAGCUUGCUACACCAUAGACUGUGAGUUGCGAACGGGAGAGUAACGCGUAGGUAACCUGCCUGGUAGCGGGGGAUAACUAUUGGAAACGAUAGCUAAUACCGCAUAAUAUUAAUUAUUGCAUGAUAAUUAAUUGAAAGGUGCAAUUGCACCACUACCAGAUGGACCCGCGUUGUAUUAGCUAGUAGGUGAGGUAACGGCUCACCUAGGCGACGAUACAUAGCCGACCUUGGGAGGUGGUCCGCCACACUGGGACUUGGGCACCGCCCCGGCCCCUUCGGGGGGCCGCCGUAGGGAAUCUUCGGCAAUGGCCGAAAGUCUUACCGAGCCACGCCGCGUGGGUGGAGAAGGGUUUCGGGUCGUUAAGCUCUGUUUUAAGGGAAGGACGGGUGUGAUAGUUGACAGUUCACACUGUGACGGUAUCUUACCAGAAAGGGACGGCUAACUACGUG
rnacentral:rRNA from 1 species